rnacentral:misc_RNA from 1 species
AACCUCAUCCUAAUCAGUUUCUUGACUGAUUAGUGAUGGAUUGGGUGUUUGCCUUUCUGGCUCGCCUUAAAAGUCUAAGUGGUCUGGAUGUAAUACGUUUCGUCCUUGACUGACUCUUAACCCAUCUUUCAA